GACGAACGCUGGCGACGUGCCUAAUACAUGCCAGUCGAGCGAACGGACGAGGUGCUUGCUCUACCGAUGUUAGCGGCGGACGGGUGAGUAACACGUGGAGAACCUACCUAUAAGACUGGGAUAACUUUGGGAAACCAGAGCUAAUACCGGAUAAUAUCUUGAAACGCAUGGUUCAAAAGUGAAAGACGCUCUUGCUUUCCCUAAUAGAUGGCCCCGCGCUGCAUUAGUUAGUUGGUAAGGAAACGGCUUACCAAGGCAACGAUGCAUACCCGACCUGAGAGGGUGAUCGGCCACACUGGAACGGAGACACGGCCCAGACUCCUACGGGAGGCAGCAGUAGGGAAUCUUCCGCAAUGGGCGAAAGCCUAACGGAGCAACGCGGCGGGAGUGAUGAAGGUCUCCGGACCGUAAACCUCUGUUAUUAGGGAGGAAGAUAUGUGUAAGUAACUGUGCACAUCUUGACGGUACCUAAUCAGAAAGCCACGGCUAACUACGUG
rnacentral:rRNA from 1 species